GACGAACGCUGGCGGCGUGCUUAACACAUGCAAGUCGAACGAUGAAGUUCCUUCGGGAAUGGAUUAGUGGCGAACGGGUGAGAAACACGUGAGAAACCUGCCUUUCAUUUUGGGAUAACUCCGGGAAACCGGAGCUAACACCGAAUACUCCGUCUCGGCGGCAUCGCUGAGCCGGGAAAAAAUUUUGAUGAAAGAUGGUCUCGCGGCCUAUCAGCUAGUUGGUGAGGUAAUGGCUCACCAAGGCGACGACGGGUAGCCGGCCUGAGAGGGCGACCGGCCACACUGGGACUGCGACACGGCCCAGACUCCUACGGGAGGCAGCAGUGGGGAAUAUUGGGCAAUGGGCGCAAGCCUGACCCAGCGACGCCGCGUGAGGGAUGAAGGCCUUCGGGUUGUAAACCUCUUUCAGUAGGGAAGAAGCGAAAGUGACGGUACCUAAAGAAGAAGCACCGGCUAACUAUGUGCCAGCCGCCGCCGUAA
rnacentral:rRNA from 1 species